rnacentral:rRNA from 1 species
CCUGCCCUUGGGAGGGGAACAACAGCUGGAAACGGCUGCUAAUACCCCAUAGGCUGAGGAGCAAAAGGAGGAAUCCGCCCAAGGAGGGGCUCGCGUCUGAUUAGUUAGUUGGUGAGGCAAUGGCUUACCAAGGCGACGAUCAGUAGCUGGUCCGAGAGGAUGAUCAGCCACACUGGGACUGAGACACGGCCCAGACUCCUACGGGAGGCAGCAGUGGGGAAUUUUCCGCAAUGGGCGAAAGCCUGACGGAGCAAUGCCGCGUGAAGGUAGUAGGCCCACGGGUCAUGAACUUCUUUUCUCGGAGAAGAAAAAAUGACGGUAUCUGAGGAAUAAGCAUCGGCUAACUCUGUGCCAGCAGCCGCGGUAAGACAGAGGAUGCAAGCGUUAUCCGGAAUGAUUGGGCGUAAAGCGUCUGUA